rnacentral:rRNA from 1 species
GACGAACGCUGGCGGUGUGCUUAACACAUGCAAGUCGAACGAUGAAGCUGGAGCUUGCUCCGGUGGGUUAGUGGCGAACGGGUGAGUAACACGUGAGUAAUCUGCCCUUGACUCUGGGAUAACUGCGGGAAACUGUAGCUAAUACCGGAUACGACACCUUCGGGCAUCCGAUGGGUGUGGAAAGAAUUUCGGUCAAGGAUGAACUCGCGGCCUAUCAGCUAGUUGGUGAGGUAUUGGCUCACCAAGGCGACGACGGGUAGCCGGCCUGAGAGGGUGACCGGCCACACUGGGACUGAGACACGGCCCAGACUCCUACGGGAGGCAGCAGUGGGGAAUAUUGCACAAUGGGCGAAAGCCUGAUGCAGCAACGCCGCGUGAGGGAUGAAGGCCUUCGGGUUGUAAACCUCUUUUAGUUGGGAAGAAGCGAAAGUGACGGUACCAACAGAAAAAGCACCGGCUAACUACGUGCCAGCAGCCGCCGUAA